GUGAAAUUGUUGAAAGGGAAACGAUUGAAGUCAGUCAUGCCGGUGGGAAUCAACUUAGGGGAAACUCUAAGUGCACUUCUUCGCUUGGCAGGUCAACGUCGAUUUUGGAUGUCAUAAAAUGAUUGGGGGAAGGUAGCUCCUUAGGGAGUGUUAUAGCCCUUGGUAGAUGUGAUGUCUGGGAUCGAGGAUUGCAAUGGAUACCCUUUGGGGCUAGCUGCCUGAUCUCUAACUAGUGUUGGGUUACGGACAGCAUGCUGACCGUGAUUUAAUUAUUGGUUAAAAGGUUAGAGCGAGUGUAAAUUCGUUAAGGAUGCUGACGUAAUGGCUUUAAACGAC
rnacentral:rRNA from 1 species